UGCUUCCUGGCCUGUGGGAGUGAGUAUGUCACAUAAACCUGAACCGUCAAAUAUGUACUAUCCCCUCUCAAUUUGUAGGUAAAGGGAUGGCUUCAUUAACCGAGUAAGGACUGCUUAAAUUCCAUUUUUGCUGCUUCUUAGUUAAUUUCCAUGGAUAAUACUGCAAUAUAUUCUGCAUAAACCCAAAAUAUUCUCAAACAUUUAUAAGCAAGGGAAACACAAUAGGUAACAUAGAUUAUUUUAUUUAUUAUCAAGGAUAUUCACAAGAUCACUACAUUUUAUUUUGUCUCAUACUGAUACAAACAUGCUUCUCCAUAACAACCAUGUUUUUAGGACCAUUUCAUUUUUGCAUGUGUGCUUUAAGAAAACUGGAUUGGACAUGAUAAUGCCCUAUAUGAAAAAGCAAUGAGAAGAUGUUCAUUUGUGUGACUCAUCAAAACUGCCAGACUGAAAAAUCUCAGGAUUCCUCCAGUUAUUAGAUAUCUGUCAUACAUGUUCAGUCCUGGGAUUCCAGAAAAUAAAAGGAUUAGAACACGGUAUAUAUUUUUCAAUUGAUGAGGGAUAAGAAAUAU
rnacentral:lncRNA from 1 species